CAUUAUGGCAUUAGUUUCUGGAGGAAGAUCAUCGUUGAAUCCAAAUGCGCCCCUCUUCGUUCCUUCGUUUGUGCGCCAAGUGGAGGAUUUUUCCCCAGAAUGGUGGAAUUUGGUGACAACUUCAACAUGGUUCCAUGACUAUUGGAUGAGCCAGAACCAGGGAGAGGAAUAUGGUAAUGAUCAAUAUGGAGCUGGUAAUGAUAUGGCUGAUUUGCUUCCUGAGAAUAUUGAUCUCAAUGUGGAUGAGGAUAUCUUGAACAUGGAAGCUCAGUUUGAGGAAUUUCUCCAAUCAUCCCAAGGUGGGCAACAAGGAAUUAAGUCACCUCUCUACGGUGUCAAUGGAGUGCCACAAUAUGG
rnacentral:lncRNA from 1 species